GGUUUAUUUUUCUUCACCUGGUAUUCUUCUUUUCCUUUAUUUCUCUUGAUUGUCUCAAACACACAAACACACACACUAGAAGCGGUAAUAGUAAUAGUGGAAUAAAUUGUGCUGCUUUCCCUUGUAGGGAUCUUGUGGAAAUGGGAAGCUGAAUCCUGCGCUUUAGCUGGUACUGGUACACCAGCCCUCUUUCAAUUGCAGGGUGCCAUGCCAGAAUUUGCGAGCUUUGGACUCAAUCGCGUAAACCCCCAAUCUCUCAGGCGAGGCGAUUCAGGAUUCAUGGCGGGUGACUCAGAUUCAUCUCCCUCUCCUAGCAAACUCCUCAAACCCUAAACCCUAGCCCUACCCGCGUCUUCCACGCCUUUCUCCAAAGGCAAUGACAAGUUCCAAGAACCCAAAGACGAUCCUGUAGAAGAAGAAGAAGAAGAAGAAGAAGAAGAAGAGGAAGGAGGUGGGGAGGAAUUGAUGGAUUCAGAUCCGAGCUGAUGCGGGGUUUGUUUAUCGGAAGAAGGGAAGAGCAUCAGAGGGUGGAUCGACAGCUGUGACCAUCACUUCUGCUUCGCCUGCAUCAUGGAGUGGGCCAAGGUUGAGUCUCGCUGCCCCAUGUGCAAGAGGCGCUUCUCCUCCAUUCGCAGGCCGCCCAAGGAGGGGGUGUUUGCUUGUGAACGGAUUGUGGAUGUUAUUAGAAAUUCCAGCAAGCCUUUCUCUUUGACUCUCUAUCUCUCUCCCAUGUGGAAUUGCAUCAAGAUUUAAGCUGUGCGCAGAGAUGAUGCAUUGCCAUUUGGCUGCAGUGAUGAGAUAAGAAUGUGGGGCUUCCAAUGUAGCUUGUGACAGAACAGUAGCAGCCAUUACAGCCUGUUAAGGUGACAAAUCUGUCAUUACGGCCGUGAUUUCAACCGGCAAUGCUGAAGCGGUAUCAAGGGCCAAUUUUCCAUAUGUAAUGGCUGUUGUGCUAUGCAACGUACGCUAUUUAAACCAUGGUAAUAGUAUCCAAUGCAUUCUCCUUGUUUUGUAUCUUAUCAGACAAUAGCUCCACUUUUGUAGACAAUUCAACAUUAGCUGCCAUGUUGCUGUUUUUUUUUUUUUAAUUUUUACAUACACAGCAACUUUAUAUAUCAAAGACCCUCAACACAAUUUGCCAACAA